ACGGAGUGUGCACACGUGCAGAAUGAAGAGUUGACCAGCGCGUGCAUGUCACAAACCAACGGGACAGAAAUUAGUGGGUUAUAACAUCCAAUUGGUUAUCGUUGCAGUUAUAUAGCACAUGACUUAUGUACCUUUGAAUUGAUUUGUAUAAUUAUUAUUCAAGGAGAGAAGAAAUGGGAAUUUACUCAUAUCCACAUACAUUCUACCAUUACUCAUUUAUAUUUUGCUUUUCUUUUCUACAGCAAAUAAGUCAUGAUAAUAGUGAAACAAACAUAACAUCCCUAACCAAAAAAAAAACAAACAAACAAACAAACAAUCCAACAAACAAAUGAAAAAAGGACAAACCCAAAACCCUAAAAACCAAAGAAAAAAACCAGCAACAUAAUUAAAAACCAGACUCAAUCUACUAGAUAAAAUCAAAGGGACGAAGCGUCAAUUUUUAUUGAUAUUAGUUUUGAUAUUACUUACCAGUAUACUUAUUUAUAUUUUCAAGUGGUUUAACAAUUCUAUAUCUACUUUUAUGUUGGAGUCAAGAGUGUGGGAAUAAAAGUAUGGUAGAAACCACACGCCUCUGUAUAUGAAGUGUUUAUUUCUAUAAAUGGACAUACAGCUGAUACUUGUGGGCAAAUCUGGCCACUGUGGGUGUCCGUCAGCUGGACGUUUGUUUACUGAUGAUAACAAGUCUCUGAAUGGUUGCUUCUCUCCCUCAAGAUGGACGAAUGCAACCUGAUUCUAUCACACACUUAUCACUUCCGGAUAACGCGCACCUGCUGAAGGUUUUCGUUUGAUACCAUAUUAAUGUGAAUGGUGUGUGAGUAACGAAAGACUAAAUGAAAAUAACAACAUGGGGAUGCUUCACCACUCGGUGUUUUCAAAAUGAAUUUUCGGGAAUAUAACAAUCGAGAAUGACAAUUAAAAUCGAAAAUGAAAUGGAUUACUUUGAUAUGUGUUAUCAAUUGCCUUCAAUAUUCAGGUAGGUUUUACCUCAAUGAUAGAACGAGAAGUUAUCGUGUAAACAUUAUUACUACGUUGAUUCAUUUUUUAAAAGAUCUAUAUGCAACAAAAAAUCUAAUGCCAAGAAUUCAUCGAAACUUGCAAAUUGUUUUAAUUAUGUGGGGUCUUAAUCGUGUCUUCAUUUCCUUUAUUUUUUAAAAGAAUGUGUUACUAUUAAGCUUAUAUACAGUACAAUACUAUAAAUUUAUUUAAAAAUCAUAUUAAUUACGAUACGAAUGAUGAUCUUUUUUGUUUGUUUAAUUAGAAUAUCAAGCCUCAUAACCAAUAGUGGUAAUAAAUUUGCCAACAAAC
rnacentral:misc_RNA from 1 species